rnacentral:rRNA from 1 species
UUGACCUCGGAUCAGGUAGGGAUACCCGCUGAACUUAAGCAUAUCAAUAAGCGGAGGAAAAGAAACCAACAGGGAUUGCCCUAGUAACGGCGAGUGAAGCGGCAACAGCUCAAAUUUGAAAUCUGGCUCUUUUAGAGUCCGAGUUGUAAUUUGCAGAGGGCGCUUUGGCUUUGGCAGCGGUCCAAGUUCCUUGGAACAGGACGUCACAGAGGGUGAGAAUCCCGUACGUGGUCGCUAGCUAUUGCCGUGUAAAGCCACUUCGACGAGUCGAGUUGUUUGGGAAUGCAGCUCUAAAUGGGAGGUAAAUUUCUUCUAAAGCUAAAUAUUGGCCAGAGACCGAUAGCGCACCAGUAGAGUGAUCGACAGAUGAAAGCACUUUGGAAGAGAGUCAACAGCACGUGAAAUGUUGAAGGGAACCCUUGCAGCAGAC